rnacentral:rRNA from 1 species
UUGACUACAAGGCAAUGUGGUGUUUAGGUUGGUUCAUGGCAUAACUGCUCUGCCCCAAGUCCAGCAAUGAGUACGGCUUACCAUUCUGGCCCAUAGAGGGUGAAAGGCCCGUGGGGGUGGAGAUCAAGUAUGACAGUUUUGCUCUGUUCCCGCCUUAGAGUCGGGUUGUUUGUGAAUGCAGCCCAAAGUGGGUGGUAAACUCCAUCCAAGGCUAAAUACUUACACGAGUCCGAUAGUAAACAAGUACCGUGAGGGAAAGUUGAAAAGUACUUUGAAGAGAGAGUAAACAGUGCGUGAAACCGCUCAGAGGUAAACGGGUGGAGUUGAACUGCGAGCCCUGGGGAUUCAGCUGAUGAGUGUGAUUUGUGCUCGGGCAUAUUGACCGCCCCCUCAGUGUCUGUUAACUGCAGGUGCCUGCCUUUCGGGGUGGGUAUGUGUGAUGCGCUUAUCAUGUGCUGCACGCAUUGGGGUGUGGAGUCUGCUUGUCAGUGCACUUUCUCAGGGUAAUCACCACGACCGGCGCUGCUGCCUGUCUGCUGUGGCCAAACUGAUCAGGUCUGGUUAUCACUAGGCUUGGUUGGGUCGGCAGGUGACUCACUGGUUCACUUGUGGACUAUGAGUGUUACUAGCCGGCUGCGGUGGAUCUGUGCGGUGUGUCGGAGAUGGCGACUUUGCAUGCGUGCUCUGUCCUUCGGGCGAGGUUGAGUCUGGUCGGCCUGUUACUAGUUUCGGCUGGUCGGUUGAUGGCUUGAUCUUGUUCAGUUGGCGGUUGCGUGUGUGACUUGGUUUGGGCCAAUAGUCUGUGGUGUCUGGUAGACGAUCCACUGACCCGUCUUGAAACACGGACCAAGGAGUUUAACAUGUGCGCGAGUCAUUGGGCGUUACGAAACCCAAAGGCGUAGUGAAGGUAAAGGUUCGGCUUGUCCGUACUGAGGUGAGAUCCCGUUGUUUUGCUCAUUAACCGAGAUGCGAGCAGCGGGCGCAUCACCGGCCCGUCCCAUGACGUAGUCSGUAGUUGUAACUAUGAGCACCGUCGGGGCGGAGCAAGAGCGCACACGUUGAGACCCGAAAGAUGGUGAACUAUGCUUGCGAAGGUUGAAGCCAGAGGAAACUCUGGUGGAGGACCGUAGCGAUUCUGACGUGCAAAUCGAUCGUAUAACGUGAGUAUAGGGGCGAAAGACUAAUCGAACCAUCUAGUAGCUGGUUCCCUCCGAAGUUUCCCUCAGGAUAGCUGGCAUUCUGAUAAAUAAACAGUUUUAUCCGGUAAAGCGAAUGAUUAGAGGCAUUGGGGAGAAAACAUCCUCAACCUAUUCUCAAACUUUAAAUGGGUGAGAAGCUUAACUCGCUUAAUUGGAGUUAUSCAUUGAAUGUGAGUGCCAAGUGGGCCAUUUUUGGUAAGCAGAACUGGCGCUGUGGGAUGAACCAAACGUGCGGUUAAGGUGCCUAACGCGACGCUCAUGAGAUACCACAAAAGGUGUUGGUUGGUCCAGACAGCA